rnacentral:lncRNA from 1 species
GAGGAGUUUGGGAUGGUCUUCUGCUAGCCUCCCUCUGAUUGAGGCACUAGGAUUGGAAUCAGGCAAAAUAAACAGAAGAUCUCAGUUGAUGAAAGAUUUGAAAAACUGUCUGAUGUGGGAAGGAGGAAAUGAGCACCAUGCUACCUGGAAUACAUGCAGCCAUUCAGAAGAGACCCAGGACAGCCAAGCCAACUGUGAACCAGGCCCAAUCAUCUGGACAAAGAGCAGCCCCUUUUGCAAGACCAGGUUCCAAUGGCCCAUCAGAAAGAAGAGGCCCAGAGGAAGCCUGAAUUAGAAACACUUGCUGUUUCUCA